AGCAAUCCAUGAGUAGAGUGGCAAACGGGUGAGUAACGCGUGGGUGACCUGCCUUCGAGCGGGGGAUAACGUUUCGAAAGGAACGCUAAUACCGCAUGACAUCCUGCCUUUGAAGAGGUGGAGAUCAAAGCUGGGGAUCGCAAGACCUAGCACUUGAAGAGGGGCCCGCGUCUGAUUAGCUAGUUGGUGAGGUAACGGCUCACCAAGGCGACGAUCAGUAUCCGGCCUGAGAGGGCGGACGGACACACUGGGACUGAGACACGGCCCAGACUCCUACGGGAGGCAGCAGUGGGGAAUUGUUCGCAAUGGGCGCAAGCCUGACGACGCAACGCCGCGUGGAGGAUGAAGACCUUCGGGUCGUAAACUCCUUUCGAUCGAGACGAAAGACUUCCGGGUGAACAAUCCGGAAGAGUGACGGUACCGAGAGAAGAAGCCCCGGCUAACUCCGUGCCAGCAGCCGCGGUAAUACGGGGGGGGCAAGCGUUGUUCGGAAUUACUGGGCGUAAAGGGCUCGUAGGCGGCCAACUAAGUCGGACGUGAAAUCCCUCGGCUUAACCGGGGAACUGCGUCCGAUACUGGAUGGCUUGAGGUUGGGAGAGGGAUGCGGAAUUCCAGGUGUAGCGGUGAAAUGCGUAGAUAUCUGGAGGAACACCGGUGGCGAAAGCGGCAUCCUGGACCAAUUCUGACGCUGAGUGAGCGAAAGCCAGGGGAGCAAACGGGAUUAGAUACCCCGGUAGUCCUGGGCCCUAACGAUGAAUGCUUGGUGUGGCGGGUAUCGAUCCCUGCCGUGCCGAAGCUAACGCAUUAAGCAUUCCGCCUGGGGAGUACGGUCGCAAGGCUG
rnacentral:rRNA from 1 species